rnacentral:rRNA from 1 species
ACGGAAGGCAGCAGUGGGGAAUAUUGCGCAAUGGGCGGAAGCCUGACGCAGUGACGCCGCGUAUAGGAAGAAGGUUUUCGGAUUGUAAACUAUUUUAGACAGGGAAGAAUAAUGACAGUACCUGUAGAAUAAGCUCCGGCUAACUACGUGCCAGCAGCCGCGGUAAUACGUAGGGAGCAAGCGUUAUCCGGAUUUAUUGGGUGUAAAGGGUGCGUAGACGGGAAAUCAAGUUAGUUGUGAAAGCCCUCGGCUUAACUGAGGAACUGCAACUAAAACUAAUUUUCUUGAGUGCAGGAGAGGAAAGCGGAAUUCCUAGUGUAGCGGUGAAAUGCGUAGAUAUUAGGAGGAACACCAGUGGCGAAGGCGGCUUUCUGGACUGUAACUGACGUUGAUGCACGAAAGUGUGGGGAGCAAACAGGAUUAGAUACCCUGGUA